UGAAAGCAGGAUUCAAUGAUUUUGCUUUGAAUUUGCUGUAAUCAAAGCAAAAGAGGAACUGCUGGCUUGCCCUGAAACUAAGAAACUAAAACACGACAGCAUUUUGGAGAAUGGUGAAGCUGUUUGUGUGAAAUAGGUUAAGACUCAUUGUCCAGUGAGGACUUCAACAUUUGGCAAAUGAAUAUCACUUCGAGGAUAGAACAGAUACGAGGAAUAAAGCUAAAAACCGCAACUUUGCUUGACUUUUUCAUAUCUUCAAUCAUUUUUUCUUGGAACUCCACUAACAAUUGAAAAUGGCCAAAAUGCAUGAAUGAGGCCUUGAUACUGUGUUUGUCUCAUCUCUUUGUCGAUGCUUUAUUCUUGUCUGUACAUGUGAUUUAACAGGUAGACUAAAGCUCCUUUCUCCAAUGUAUUCCAUUCCUUAAGAUGCCAUUGAAGUCUUCCAUUCAUUUAUGAUUCCUUCUUCAUAUUCCUUAAUCAAUGGUGUUAGAUAUUGUUCUCAGCUUUUCUUACGAUGGUUAUUGACAAUUUAUCAUAAGGAGAUCUAAUGGCUGAAAAGCAAGUAACCAAGGAUGGAUAAUUAUUCUACACGCUACUAUAAAUUGAUCUAAAGGUCUUCAGACAGUAACCCUUUCCCCGAUUUCUUCUGUUCAUCUUUUACGACCACUAAUCAUUGCAUGCCUUGCUAGUUGUAUGAUCAAACAAUUGCUGGCCAGGUUACGUACUUUCUUGUGAUCCUUUUGAGUAUUCUCUUUCGCAAUCACUUGAACAUAUUGCUGGCCAUGCCGUUUCUCUUCGAGUUCAGAGAUCUCAGAUUAGAUUCUUCCAAUUUAACUUUCUUUUGCUUUUGGGUUUAUCUUUUAUGACUUCUCAUUGCUGCGUGACAUAUUUCUUGUGGAAUCUUUAAGUGUUGUGUGCAUUAGCAGAAAAUAAAAGGAAAAAAAUAAUCUUGACACGAUCCCAACGAAGAAGAGUUGAUUGCAAGAUUGUGGUCUGGGAAAAAAACUGAUUUCUUAAGCAAUAACGAUCUCAAAUUAACUUGCCUAAUUAUUGUAAUGCUAUCCGAUUGUAAUUCGCUGUGGUGAAGCUAUGCUUUCAUGCAUCAAAUUUUAUGCCAUUUGAUCACAGAGCAUACCGCUUGAUAGGCUAUGAACUCUAGAUUAAUAAAGUUCAGCAAUAUUCUUGCUCUGGUAGUCUAGGUCUACUUUAGCCAUGGAGACAAUAUAGUUGUGAAGUAAAUGAUUAGAAAGAUGAGAGAAGCAGAGUACUACACUAAUUAUAAGACUUCAUUAAAACCACACCAGAGGCCACAGACAUGGCCAAUACAUAACAAUGAAGAAGACACAAAGAUAAAGACACUCACGGACACUUUUGUUUGUUCACUCCACACCCACAAGUACAGAAGAACACAGAUUAUUUAUCAGAAAUUACAUUAUUAAUCCACUCCCAAUCCCACAUCAAACAUGAUAGUUGAUGUGCUUGCUUAAUGACCGCAUGUGCAGGUAGUGCAAGUGCAGCCAGUACCGCAGUUGCACUUGCCAUCGUUCUCAGCUGCUGGCACCUCCAUGACUACGGAGGAGACAUAGCUGCAAAAAGAAUUAGACUCCAUUGUAUUAGCAUCGUGUUCCCAUUUCCUUCAUUAUCAAUCUUAACUGACGAACCAAAAAUGUUUAGGAAUAAAGCAAUAUAUAUUAUUCAUUCUGCUUAUUAAUCAUCAGUGCAUGCUGAAGCUUCAAUCAUGUCUCUCAACGCUAAUUAAGACUACGACAACAGGACUUUAAAGAUAGAGAUGCGAAAGUUACUUCUUCUCAGUCUCGACGAUGCCAGCAGUGUAGCUGCUUCCCUUCUUGCUGCAAAUUAAUCACAAAUUGCAUGGCAUGAGAGAGCAGAUAGCAUAAUGUAUGCACGAAAGCCAUGCAGAAACAUGAACUACCUACUAUACAGCUUGCACAACAUAUAUAAACCAUAAACAAGCAAGAGCUGCUUAAUCAGGUUUGCAAAAGAAGGGGAAAAAAAGAAGAAGAAUUCUUACACACACUGGGUCUUGUCAGCGCAGUCGCAGGUGUCGCAGGUGCUAGACAUGAUGAUUGAUUGAUUAAGCUUAAAUGGAUGAACUAAAAGACUUGGAGUAUGAAUGUGUUCUCUGUGUAGCUUAAUGAGUUGUUAUAUCUUCAAGCCCUGCUCUAUUUAUAGAAGGAGAGAGCGCAUCAGUAAUGGCUGCGAUGAAGAGGAAGGGCAAUUGUGGGACCCUCUUAAGGCAUGAGAGAAGCACACUCUUCUCGAGGAAACGUCCGAAGGAAUCUUGA
rnacentral:lncRNA from 1 species